CGAAGGGCAGUCAUACAAUAUAUACAUACACAGUCAGAGAAUACUUCCUUGAUAGUUAGAUGACGCUGCUACAGCGCCACCUAUUGGCCAAAUGGUACCAAAUUUGUUAUGUUCACUAAGACAGCAUACCUACACAUGUCUACCAAAUGUGGUUGCAAUAGCACAGAAUUUUCAGGAGAUAUGACAUUUUUUGUUAUAUAUGCCAUGCCUACAGCAUUUGAGCUAGUUUGAGGGCCAGCUAUAACAAAAUUGUAUGGAACAUUAAAAAUCCGAAAGGUCACUUUUUCCGGCUUGGUCCAGAGAGGCUCUGCACCAAAUUUGGUGACAAUUGCUCCAAAUAUGUAGGGGUAGCAAAAAAACUGAUUUGGACAAAAUUUAAAAUGGCGAAAAAAGGUUUUGUUUUUUUCUUGGACUUGCAGUUCAUAAGUUACAGGCCCAAACGUUAAGUUAAUUUUAUAGCGCCACCAUUUGUUCAAAUUGCACAACAUUCAACACAGCACUCCAUUGGGUCCUGAGCAAUACACCCGCCAUGUGUGAAGUCGAUCAGAUGAACGGUUCACAAGAUACUGUAUGUGAAUAACACACUGAGGGACGGACAUACAGAGAUUCCUUGAUUUCUAGUUAGAUAAUUAUGAGUUGCACCUUCUAAAAAGUCUUUGCAAUGUAUUAUGUGUGAGCAAACAUUUCAGAGACAUAGAAACAUAAAUGUAACUUAAAAACUGUAUUUGCACGUUGUCACUCUGCACCUCCUGCAGAUGAAAGGUGGUUUUCUGGACACAAAAUGGUACCAUAGUACUCUAGCGACUGCUUUGUUUUUCAAAUGAGCUCCUCUCAUUCAUUCAGUGUGAUCAAAUGAAAAUGAAUGAGCUGAUUUGAAUGCUUGUUAUUUAUUCUGCAGGGUGCCACAGCUGCUUUGACACUCUUGGUCUCAGAGUUAUCCAAAUAGAAUCUGUUAGUCACACCUAAAUGCAUGCCUCGUUUCACCAAUAGUUCUGUGAAUUCAGAAUGAUUUUUUUUUUGAUAUUCUAUCACUCUUCUUCUUGAAAUAUAGUUGUAUCUUCUAUUGAAAUUAGUGAGAUACAGUAAAGGGGAAGCAUCUUGUUUUUUUUAGUUGAUAGGGUUCAAAAAGUGAACGUUGCCAUUAAAUUCAAAGUGUGACAAAACGUCUUUUAAAAUAUGUUCACCGCAUCACUUCGAACUGUAAAUAUAUUUAAGCAUUGCUAGUUGUUGCAUGAAAAAUGAAAUAUUAUACAUUAUACUCUUUACCGAAAAGAAAAAGGUCCUUAGUGGACAUGCAGUGUUGACACAAUACGUAAUUUUGUUAUGUCAUUGUGUGUUAAUAUACAGCAAAUUAAAAAUUAACACUUAAAUCUAAUGGAGGCCACGUGGCUUUAGACUCUAAAUGUCAAGAUGUGACUGAAUGAACUGAACUCAUCAGCAUCAGGAGUUCACACUACAUUCACAGCCGUAAAACUUGCUUUGUAGGAAGAGUUUGUCACCUUCUUGUUUUAAUAAGGAAGGAGAAGAAGGAGAAGAAGAAGAAGCCUUAUGGUACCAACCUAAAUUGGUAGAAUUAAGGAAGUUUUUAGUUCCCCUGCUAAUUCAGAGAUAUAUAGAAAGCCUGCAUUUUUCAACCACCUUUGGCAAUUUGCUUCCAGUAGCUCAACAACUCCCCUGCGGAGACCUUUACAGCUCAUCACUGGAUGUUGUACGGACGGCAACGCUCAGAAGAAAUGGUGAGCGAAGACGAUUACGAAAUUUGAAUACUGCCACAGGAGUUACAGAGUGUGGACAUCAACCUGCAGUCAUUCUGGUCAAACUGAUGUUCUGCCGAGGAGGAGUGCAACACUUCCUGUUGCGACGUAGCCUGUAUCCUGUUUUCCACAGUCAGUGGUCAUGCGUGUCAUUCCCCUCCGCGAGGCUGUGUUGGCACAAUCUCGUGACCCUGAAAUCUUAUGAGACUGAAUCUAGGGAGACUCCACAUGUCUAAGAAAAACUCUGAAUGUCAGCAAAAAAAAUGUAUAACAGCACAAUAAAUAUAUCCAGGACUGUUG